rnacentral:lncRNA from 1 species
GGGUUUCCCCGCCCACGCCCUGAGAGACCAUCAACACCGUGCAGGCCGGUCUGUGCUUCACAGGGCUGGCUCCUGCCUUCCUCCUUUGUGAACUCAGGGAUUCAUGGAGCUAAGCCAUCAACACCUGGCUGAGAAGUAGGGCCUCUCCACCUUCCUCCCACUCUGCUCACAAAUGGCCCUGAGGAGUGUCAGAGAUCAAAGGGGCCAGCGCCCUGGCCUUCUGCUGCUCAGCCCCAUAACUGCCCUCAGAGGACGGGAAUUCACACCUGCUGGUGGUGGAGGGGGCCCAAGGUGUGGAGGACUGUGUUGGCUGCGGCAUCAUCUGCAAAGUUCCUUGGCUUGAGGCCUCUGAUCCUGCUUUCCACAAGCUGACUGGGUGUCACCAAGGCCCCAGAAGGGCCCGGAGCUCCCCCUUCUCUCACCCACUCCCCGAUUAUGUGCUCCCAGCACAGCUCUGCAGCCAGAGGGUGAGGCUGCAAGCGAGAUUCCGAGGCUGACUGAUAGGCCUUCACCAGGCGGAGCCAUCUUGAAGGAGAAAGAGGGAGACGGGGACGCUGUUGUGAAUGGGUGGAUACGUCAAGAUGUGAGAAACUGAAGCUAGUAGCUGGAGUGGAUCCACAGGGAUUUCUAUAGGCAGCCGAGUUUCCUGAACUUUUCCCGUGAAACUGACUUUGCUUUAACGAGAGCAACUGCACUGGCCAUUCCCACAGGUAUCUCUAGCCCCUCGUCUACGUGAAAUGAGUGCAUUCACUCAGAUAAAUCUCUAAAAUGGUGGCUGGAGGCUGUUAUUAGGAGGCUAGUAAAGAUUUUAUGCUUGAUAUAAUAUUGCCUGUGACUUAGCCACUGUUGUAGAACAAUAUUUUGCCUGAAACUCUUCAAAUGAUGUUUUGGUAGCUGUUUCUGCUCAUUUUGGUUAAUGUUUUUGCAGCAAUAAGUCUGAGCAGCUGGAUCUUUUGUUCCUCACACAGCAUAUUCCAGGUGGGCUGCCUGAAUCCUGCAUCCUAAACCCUAUAAAAUACCAUUUCAGGAACAACUGGGUUUUUGUCUACAAGAAAUUAUCCCUAUAAUAGCUUGUAUAUGCCGUGAAGUAAUGAGAUGGUUGUUAAUAGAAAAAUAUUUCCUAGAAUAGACCAUUUUUAUUCAAACAUCUGCCAACAUGAAAACUAUGUACACAGCA